rnacentral:rRNA from 1 species
UACGUAGGGGGCUAGCGUUGUCCGGAUUUAUUGGGCGUAAAGAGCGUGUAGGCGGCCAGGUAGGUCUGCUGUGAAAACUCGAGGCUCAACCUCAAGCUGUCGGUGGAAACCACAUGGCUAGAGUCCGGAAGAGGAGAGUGGAAUUCCUGGUGUAGCGGUGAAAUGCGCAGAUAUCAGGAAGAACACCAAUGGCGAAGGCAGCUCUCUGGGACGGUACUGACACUGAGACGCGAAAGCGUGGGGAGCGAACAGG